CUUCUCCCGAAGCAUUGCUGACCAACAUGCAUUGCCCAGGAAGGAAAUUAACUUGAGGGAGAUGCAGUGAGACGGAUCAACGUGGCUGGAGCAGAGGGAGGACAGGGGUCUGUCAACAGAGGGAGAUGCAGUGAGACGGAUCAACAUGGCUGGAGCAGAGGGAGGACAGGGGUCUGUCAACAGAGGGAGAUGCAGUGAAACGGAUCAAUGUGGCUGGAGCAGAGGGAGGACAGGGGUCUGUCAACAGAGGGAGAUGCAGUGAGACAGAUCAACGUGGCUGGAACAGAGGGAGGACAGGGGACUGUCAACAAAGGGAGAUGCAGUGAGACGGAUCAAAGUGGCUGGAGCAGAGGGAGAACAGGGGACUGUCAACAGAGGGAGAUGCAGUGAGACGGAUCAAAGUGGCUGAAGCAGAGGGAGGACAGGGGACUGUCAACAGAGGGAGAUGCAGUGAGACGGAUCAAAGUGGCUGGAGCAGAGGGAGGACAGGGGACUGUCAACAGAGGGAGAUGCAGUGAGACGGAUCAACGUGGCUGGAGCAGAGGGAGGACUGGGGACUGUCAACAGAGGGAGAUGCAGUGAGACGGAUCAACGUGGCUGGAGCAGAGGGAGGACAGGGGUCUGUCAACAGAGGGAGAUGCAGUGAGACGGAUCAACAUGGCUGGAGCAGAGGGAGGACAGGGGUCUGUCAACAGAGGGAGAUGCAGUGAAACGGAUCAAUGUGGCUGGAGCAGAGGGAGGACAGGGGUCUGUCAACAGAGGGAGAUGCAGUGAGACAGAUCAACGUGGCUGGAACAGAGGGAGGACAGGGGACUGUCAACAGAGGGAGAUGCAGUGAGACGGAUCAAAGUGGCUGGAGCAGAGGGAGAACAGGGGACUGUCAACAGAGGGAGAUGCAGUGAGACGGAUCAAAGUGGCUGGAGCAGAGGGAGGACAGGGGACUGUCAACAGAGGGAGAUGCAGUGAGACGGAUCAAAGUGGCUGGAGCAGAGGGAGGACAGGGGACUGUCAACAGAGGGAGAUGCAGUGAGACGGAUCAACGUGGCUGGAGCAGAGGGAGGACUGGGGACUGUCAACAGAGGGAGAUGCAGUGAGACGGAUCAACGUGGCUGGAGCAGAGGGAGGACAGGGGUCUGUCAACAGAGGGAGAUCCACGGUCAGUUAUUCAAGCUGCAUUAGUGGCAACUUGCCAUCCACACUCUGAACAUCCUCUCCCAUGUCAGGGCAGAGUAAUUCCAUGCAAUUCUGGGGGCCAAUGGAGAAAACCAUCCUACUGUUUUUUUUAAUGUAUUUCAGCCAAUUGCUUGGCCUUGCUUAGAGACAUGGUGGUGCUGAGAACUUGGAGAAUAUCGUAAAACUAAAACUGAUAGUUUAGGUUACGUGAUAUAUUCCACAAUCUGCCUGUGGCAAUAUCCAUUCAUCCUAUACCUAAAGGAAUAUCAAGUUAUGCAUGGAUGUUUUCCCAAAGGGUUUUGACACAGCCCAACUCUGUGGAAUUAUCAUUAGUAAUGGAUAAAAAUAAAAUAUACAUGUCUAGGAUUCCCCACAGACAGACUGUCACAAGAGGGAGACUUCAGGGAGGCUUGAAGGAGACCGAUAGCAGUUGGAGGCUGCAGUUUGUCCGUAGGGAAAGGCUGGCUUAGCUUUGGCUACCUAAGGCCUAGCUUUUUUGAGGAAGGGUUUCGUUUGGUGCAGUUACACUUACUAUAGGUAUGAUCAUGGAGAUUUCCUGUGCUGGGAAACAUCCUCCUUUAAAGACACAGAUGUUGGGAAAAAAACAUGUACACAAUAUCAAUUCUGACAAGG
ensembl:lncRNA